AUACGUAGGGAGCGAGCGUUAUCCGGAUUCAUUGGGCGUAAAGAGCGCGUAGGCGGCCUCUCAAGCGGGAUCUCUAAUCCGAGGGCUCAACCCCCGGCCGGAUCCCGAACUGGGAGGCUCGAGUUCGGUAGAGGCAGGCGGAAUUCCCGGUGUAGCGGUGGAAUGCGCAGAUAUCGGGAAGAACACCGAUGGCGAAGGCAGCCUGCUGGGCCGGAACUGACGCUGAGGCGCGAAAGCUAGGGGAGCGAACAGGAUUAGAUACCCUGGUAGUCCUAGCCGUAAACGAUGGGCGCUAGGUGUGGGGAGGGUCAUCCUCUCCGUGCCGCAGCCAACGCAUUAAGCGCCCCGCCUGGGGAGUACGGCCGCAAGGCUAAA
rnacentral:rRNA from 1 species